rnacentral:rRNA from 1 species
UACGUAGGGCGUAAGCGUUGUCCGGAAUUAUUGGGCGUAAAGAGCUCGUAGGCGGUUUGUCGCGUCUGCUGUGAAAACCCGAGGCUCAACCUCGGGCCUGCAGUCGAUACGGGCAAACUAGAGUACUGCAGGGGAGACUGGAAUUCCUGGUGUAGCGGUGAAAUGCGCAGAUAUCAGGAGGAACACCGGUGGCGAAGGCGGGUCUCUGGGCAGUAACUGACGCUGAGGAGCGAAAGCGUGGGGAGCGAACAGG